rnacentral:tRNA from 1 species
GCCGUCGUAGCUCAGGGGUAGAGCACUUCCUUGGUAAGGAAGAGGUCGUGGGUUCAAAUCCCAUCGUCGGCU